rnacentral:rRNA from 1 species
UGGGGAAUUUUGGACAAUGGGCGAAAGCCUGAUCCAGCAAUGCCGCGUGUGUGAAGAAGGCCUUCGGGUUGUAAAGCACUUUUGUCCGGAAAGAAAUCCUUGGCUCUAAUACAGUCGGGGGAUGACGGUACCGGAAGAAUAAGCACCGGCUAACUACAUGCCAGCAGCCGCGGUAAUACGUAGGGUGCAAGCGUUAAUCGGAAUUACUGGGCGUAAAGCGUGCGCAGGCGGUUUGCUAAGACCGAUGUGAAAUCCCCGGGCUCAACCUGGGAACUGCAUUGGUGACUGGCAGGCUAGAGUAUGGCAGAGGGGGGUAGAAUUCCACGUGUAGCAGUGAAAUGCGUAGAGAUGUGGAGGAAUACCGAUGGCGAAGGCAGCCCCCUGGGCCAAUACUGACGCUCAUGCACGAAAGCGUGGGGAGCAAACAGGAUUAGAUACCCUGGUAGUCCACGCCCUAAACGAUGUCAACUAGUUGUUGGGGAUUCAUUUCCUUAGUAACGUAGCUAACGCGUGAAGUUGACCGCCUGGGGGAGUACGGUCGCAAGAUUAAAAC